AACGACGAUGAGAUUGGAGCAGAGUUAGCUCGAGUUGACUCGAGCUCGGAUCCUAUGGAAUUAGAUAAAAGGGAGAGGGUUUACAGAAGAGGCGAGAGCGUGAGAAAUGAAUUGCACAAGUUUCAUUGCUGGCGAGAGAGAGAGAGAGAGAGAGAGAGAGAGGAGAUGGAA